rnacentral:rRNA from 1 species
GUGGGGAAUUUUGGACAAUGGGGGCAACCCUGAUCCAGCCAUGCCGCGUGAGUGAAGAAGGCCUUCGGGUUGUAAAGCUCUUUCGGCCGGGAAGAAAUCGCAUCUCCUAAUACGGGGUGUGGAUGACGGUACCGGAAGAAGAAGCACCGGCUAACUACGUGCCAGCAGCCGCGGUAAUACGUAGGGUGCGAGCGUUAAUCGGAAUUACUGGGCGUAAAGCGUGCGCAGGCGGUUUCGUAAGACAGAUGUGAAAUCCCCGGGCUCAACCUGGGAACUGCGUUUGUGACUGCGAGACUUGAGUGCGGCAGAGGGGGGUGGAAUUCCACGUGUAGCAGUGAAAUGCGUAGAGAUGUGGAGGAACACCGAUGGCGAAGGCAGCCCCCUGGGUCGACACUGACGCUCAUGCACGAAAGCGUGGGGAGCAAACAGGAUUAGAUACCCUAGUAGUCC